rnacentral:rRNA from 1 species
ACGGAGGGUGCGAGCGUUAAUCGGAAUUACUGGGCGUAAAGCGUACGCAGGCGGUUUGCUAAGACAGAUGUGAAAUCCCCGGGCUUAACCUGGGAACUGCGCUUCGAACUGGCAGGCUAGAGUGCGGUAGAGGGGGGUGGAAUUUCACGUGUAGCAGUGAAAUGCGUAGAGAUGUGGAGGAACACCGAUGGCGAAGGCAGCCCCCUGGGUCGAUACUGACGCUCAUGCACAAAAGCGUGGGGAGCAAACGG